UACGAAGGGAGCUAGCGUUGUUCGGAAUUACUGGGCGUAAAGGGCGCGUAGGCGAUUUGGCAAGUUGGAUGUGAAAGCCCUGGGCUUAACCCGGGAAUUGCAUUCAAGACUGCCUUAAUUGAAUUCGGUAGAGGUGAGUGGAAUUCCCAGUGUAGAGGUGAAAUUCGUAGAGAUUGGGAAGAACACCCGUGGCGAAGGCGGCUCACUGGACCGACAUUGACGCUGAGGCGCGAAAGCGUGGGGAGCAAACAGG
rnacentral:rRNA from 1 species